rnacentral:tRNA from 1 species
AAGGUUUUAAGUUAAUUAAACUAAUAGCCUUCAAAGUUAUAAAUAAAGAAUAUCUUUAGGCCUUA